rnacentral:autocatalytically_spliced_intron from 1 species
UGGUCGGAUUUAUCCGGCUGACGUAAGCUAACGCGUUAAGCAAGCCGCCUGGGGAGUACGGCCGCAAGGCUAAAACUCAAAGGAAUUGACGGGGGAGCGCACAACCAGUGGAGCAUGUGGUUUAAUCCGAGACGAAGCGAAGACCUUACCUAGAUUUGACAUGUACCUGCAUUCUCGCGGAAACGCAAGAAGCCUUCGAGGGUGGUACACAGGUGAUGCAUGGCUGUCGUCAGCUCGUGGCGUGAGUCGUCUGCU